AGAGUUUGAUCAUGGCUCAGAUUGAACGCUGGCGGCAUGCCUUACACAUGCAAGUCGAACGGCAGCACGGGAGCAAUCCUGGUGGCGAGUGGCGAACGGGUGAGUAAUAUAUCGGAACGUGCCCAGUCGUGGGGGAUAACGUAGCGAAAGCUACGCUAAUACCGCAUACGAUCUACGGAUGAAAGCGGGGGACUCGUAAGGGCCUCGCGCGAUUGGAGCGGCCGAUAUCAGAUUAGGUUGUUGGUGAGGUAAAAGCUCACCAAGCCUGCGAUCUGUAGCUGGUCUGAGAGGACGACCAGCCACACUGGAACUGAGACACGGUCCAGACUCCUACGGGAGGCAGCAGUGGGGAAUUUUGGACAAUGGACGCAAGUCUGAUCCAGCAAUGCCGCGUGCAGGACGAAGGCCUUCGGGUUGUAAACUGCUUUUGUACGGAACGAAACGGUCUGCUUUAAUACAGCGGGCUAAUGACGGUACCGUAAGAA
rnacentral:rRNA from 1 species